rnacentral:rRNA from 1 species
GUGCCAGCAGCCGCGGUAAUACGAAGGGGGCUAGCGUUGUUCGGAAUCACUGGGCGUAAAGCGUACGUAGGCGGAUUGGUCAGUUAGGGGUGAAAUCCCGGAGCUCAACUCCGGAACUGCCUUUAAUACUGCCAGUCUUGAGUCCGAGAGAGGUGAGUGGAACUCCGAGUGUAGAGGUGAAAUUCGUAGAUAUUCGGAAGAACACCAGUGGCGAAGGCGGCUCACUGGCUCGGUACUGACGCUGAGGUGCGAAAGCGUGGGGAGCAAACAGGAUUAGAUACCCCUGUAGUCCC